AAAGGGAGACCUAAUUCAGGUAAAAGACGAAAAAAAAGUAGUCGCUACCAAGAAUCAAUCCCAAAAGGUCGGAGCGAGGCGAAAUUGGCUUUCAAACUAGGUUCUGGGUUCAAACAAGACCUGAAUCAGGAACAAGGGCUAUUAGCUCAGGUGGUUAGGGCGCACCCCUGAUAAGGGUGAGGUCCCUGGUUCGAGUCCAGGAUGGCCCACCUGCACAGGUGGCAAAAACAAGAGAAGCGAGGAAUCAGCACCUUAUCUUACUUAUAUAGUAAGAGAGAAUGCUGGCUCUGAGUAAAGAGUCCAGAGGAACCUUGAAAACUGCAUAGAGCUAGGUGAAAAAGCCAAAAAAGAAGACCGCAAG
rnacentral:tRNA from 1 species